CUUACGUGUGGUGCUAAGGAGUUUUUCUGUAAGUAGUGAAUUUGCUUUGUGUUUUUUGAGUUGUUUUGUUUUUUUCUUUUCCCCCCACACACUUUCUUCAUAACGUCAGCAGGCAGGACAUGGAUACUGGGAGAAAAAAGGAGAAAAGAAGCAGAGGAUGAAAAGAGAGCUGGUUACCCGGGCUGCUGCUGUGAUGGGACUGUGCUAGAGCUUUUCAGAAGGUGUGUCUUAGUGAGAUGGAAGAUGGUUGCUAUUGUAAGAGCAUUCUAAGCUGUGGAUCGGGGGCCAACAGAUACUUCCGAUUGAGUCCAGAGGAAGACUUUCCUGGUUUUCAGCCACUGAUUUUGGCUGCCUUAACUUGGAAAGAUGCUCCCUUGAUGCAUGUGUGGUCUCCUGAUAGCUGGGUGCAAUGCUACUGUGGUCUGAAGCUCUGCGUGAGGCAUCAAGAUGUCGUAUUUCAGCAGCUGGAGCCUCACAGGAGCUAUCACUCUCUGGCUGAUGUUGAGGACAGAGGCACCAGUCUGGCAGAGAGGUCUCGCCAUCCCUGCUGGGGUCCAAGGAAUUCGCAGAUGUUACCCUAUGUGGGCACCCUAUGGCAUCCCUGCUCUGGCUCCCUUCAAGUUUUGCAAGGCUGCAAUGAGGUCUCCCUGGAACCUUCUCUUCCCUCAUGCUAAACAGUCCCAGUUCCAUCAACCUUUCCUUGUAUGAGAGGUGCUCCAGUCCUCUGAUGAUCUUGGUGGCCCUCCUCUGCAGCUGCCCCAAGAGCUCCACUGCAGUUGGAGCUGAUAGGUAACAGAGCUCAACUUGAAUUAAGCUCCAAUGGAGGAGCUUCUUGUGGAGGAUGCUGACAGUUGUCUGCAUAACUUCAAGAACCUGUGAGUGGACAUGCAGCUGCACUGAAAAUGGCAGUACACCUGUGUGUGUCAUCAUCACCUGCUGCAAGCUGUCCGAUGCCCUGUAAUGCUGAUGAGGGGAUGUCUUUCUGCCUUCCUCACCGAGCUACCAAAGGCAAGCAGAUUUCUAUUAAAAUUCCAGCAAGUGUACCUAAAACCCACCUUAACAGCAAUGAAUUUACACAUUCGGUACAUUGGAAUAUUUUAUUUUCACUUUACAUGCGGUGUUAAAAACCCAAAGAACGUAUUAUUUACACAUCCACAAUACAAGUUUACAAGAUAUCUAUACAUGUUAAAGUACUCUAUAGUAUAGAGCAGCUUCAUUUAAGGGUUACUUUUUUAUGCCGUACCAUUAAAAAAGAUACAAUCUGCGUUUACCUUUGCACAAAUGGAUAAAGCAUCUUUUAUUAUUAAAUUAACAGAAUGAAGACUAAGUUGAAUGUUAGAAAUUUCAACAUAAAUACUGAGAGAACUCACAUUACCAUCUACAAGGCAGCACAAUGUUACAGGAGGUUAUCAGGGUUCACAUACAUUUAUCUUUCGAUUUCACACAAGUCUUUAUUAAUUAAUAUUUGUAGAGUGAAUUCAGAUCAGUUUUUGUCUCUUGACAACCAAGUACAUUUUUAUGUUAUUAAUCUGUAGUGUUUUAGUUGCAAGACAUAAGUGUUUAGGAAGAGAGAUCAUUGAUUUUUGGAUCCAGAGGUCUCAGGAAAUAAAUGUCCCUUACAGCCUUGCAAGAAAAAAUGACUACUGCUGUCCUUUAUUCUUUGUUCUGUAAAAGAGAUCCAGUUUUCAGUGACUAACCUUUUCUCCCCUUCGAACACAUAACAUAAAUCUCCACCAUCUCUGAAACCCGUUGCAGUUAUUUGUCCCGCUAAUUCAUUCCUCUGCCAUGGUUAUUUCUAUACUUAUGUUCAAUAAACAAUGUGGUAGUGUGUAGUUUGCAAGCUAAAAUAGCCAUCUGUGUUGAACAUCAGCUGCAAGUGGAUACUGUAAAACCUACUAAAUAGCUUACACAACUUUAGCAGGUGUUCCAUUACCCUAGAAACCUCAUUUGAUUUCACAUUAUAACUGUUUGAUCCUUCGGAGAGCUGGAGUGGAAUGUUUAUCAUGGCAAGGUGAUUUAAUGCUGCUGUCUUCUUGGAUUGUAGGCUGCCUUUAGUUAUUGUUAAUUAUCCUUGCUUAUUAUCUUUAUUUUUUUUUUGGGGGGGGGGGGGAGGGUGCUGUUGAGAGGUUUUACAACUGGCACUCAGGAGAUAUGUGCUAUAGUGAGAACACUUGACAGUUUUUUUUUUGUUUGUUUUUUUGUUUUUUUGUUUUUUUAGUACUUUUAUCAUUUGCAUGAAUAAGGCACAAAAUGCACAGAUUCAGGUAAACUCACACAUAAUAUUUACAGAAUAUUGUCAUUACCUGCAUGACUUUGGAAAAAAAAAAAACCAACAACCUUACAUUAAACAACAAAAACAAAUUGAUUGCACUACUGUUGAUUUUUCACAGACUGCUUCUGCCAGGCCAAUUAAUGUGUCUGUCUUUUUUUUUUUUUUUUUUUUUUUUCUUUUCUU